UACGUAGGGUGCAAGCGUUAAUCGGAAUUACUGGGCGUAAAGCGUGCGCAGGCGGUUAUGUAAGUCAGGUGUGAAAUCCCCGGGCUUAACCUGGGAACUGCAUUUGUGACUGCAUAGCUAGAGUACGGUAGAGGGGGAUGGAAUUCCGCGUGUAGCAGUGAAAUGCAUAGAUAUGCGGAGGAACACCGAUGGCGAAGGCAAUCCCCUGGACCUGUACUGACGCUCAUGCACGAAAGCGUGGGGAGCAAACAGG
rnacentral:rRNA from 1 species